rnacentral:rRNA from 1 species
GGGGAAUAUUGCACAAUGGGCGAAAGCCUGAUGCAGCGACGCCGCGUGAGCGAUGAAGGCCUUCGGGUCGUAAAGCUCUGUCCUAAGGGAAGAGUAGAAGACGGUACCCCUUGAAUAAGCCACGGCUAACUACGUGCCAGCAGCCGCGGUAAUACGUAGGUGGCAAGCGUUGUCCGGAUUUACUGGGUGUAAAGGGCGUGUAGCCGGGAAGGCAAGUCAGAUGUGAAAUCUGGAGGCUCAACCUCCAAACUGCAUUUGAAACUGCUUUUCUUGAGUGUCGGAGAGGUAAUCGGAAUUCCUUGUGUAGCGGUGAAAUGCGUAGAUAUAAGGAAGAACACCAGUGGCGAAGGCGGAUUACUGGACGAUAACUGACGGUGAGGCGCGAAAGCGUGGGGAGCAAACA